UUAAUUGUUGUUGUUAAUUUUGUUUUAAAAGCAGAAAAAGCGUAUUUAACGGAUGUAUUUUCGCAGAAUCUCUACUGCCUCAUGUUACACUCCAUGCGAAGGUAUUACAUAUUGAUUUGAGAAGAUAUAUUUAGCUAUCUUGAAAUUUUUUAUUCUUAGACAUGUGUACUUUUCUGACUAACCAAUAGUAGGGAAGGUUGUUGAUUACACUUUCACUUUCAUUUUUGACUGCAUUUUUUUACCCACGGUAAACGCCUAAUUAGACUACUCCAGCUUAAUUAGGCCAUAUCACCUGUUAAGGAGACACAUUACGACGUACUAGACAUCGUGUAAGUAACUGCAGUGAUUCUAAGUUAGGAAUGGGUAAUUCUCUUUGUCAGCAUAUGUUGCGUGUUACUUUUAAGCUAAUUGCAGGUCUAUAUAUUUUUCAGGGUAGCCGUUAUGAUUUAUGGGAAAACACCCCAUUCACCCAGUCACCUCUUCAUAAAUAGAGUCUUUAUUUUCAAACUUCAUCCUGUCAUAUUGUGUAAGGAAAUUUUUUGCUUUAGUUUAGCUUUAAUUCAGAUACAUGUAGUUCUUGUUUAAUCAAAACUUCUUUUGUGAGAGUUUGACCGUGGAAAGUCUGUGUUUUCCCUCAACCAAUGUUUUAUAUACGUGACAUUCUGACCAGGAGAAUGUGACCAGCAUUACAAAAGGUCUAUUCAUAUCUUGAUAGCUUCGGCAGCAAUUAUGUUAUCGCAAAACAAAGUAAGUAGCCUAAUUAGGUGAUUUUUUAUCUGUAUUUUUUUUAUUUGAUGUGCUAAAUUCCAUUUGAAAAUAACGAAGUCACUUUCAGGGGGUUUGUGCCAUAAGUUAUUAACACAGUUCAAAUAGAACAAUAUUUCUAUGAAGAACAUAAAUCUGUGUUGAAGUUGUUCUGUGAUUUACAAUGAUUUAAGCAUAUAUAAUUGCAAAAGUAAGUUUUUAUUCCCCUAAUUACCACAUGUCCCGAAUUAAGUUACCACUAGUCAUCUUAGUUGUCACCUAAUCAGGUUUUUUAUUCCUAUUAUAUAUAAAGUUUCUACAGUGCUGCGUAUGUCAUAAAAAAUGCUGGCGUCUUCAGAGUUUAGCAAUUAAAGGUAAAAGAAGAUCCCACAUAUAUACAUUCAGACAUUAUGGAUAAUUGAGACAAUAUUACAGAGAUGAAUGAGACAACAAGCACUGAUGUAAACAAAGAUGGUAGACAACACAGUGAGACAAAACGCUUUUUGUAAUUUUUUUUCAAUCUUUGCUUCUAAGUUAAAAACCGUUGCAUAUCCUCUCAUUGAAUUUACGUGGAAGUGGACCAAAGAACUGCCAUUGCGAACUAACCAAAUCUUCAAAUUUAAGUACGUUAGUAAAAUCUUUGUGGAAAAACAGGUAAAAACAAAGAAGUCGACCGGUCUGGAUGAUCUUCCACCACACUUAUUAAAGUAUUAUAGUAGGACCAUUAAGUCACAUCAUAAACCUGCCUCAUUAAUCUGGAGAGGUACCAUCCGAUUGGAAAAUAAGUAAAGUUGUUCCUAUACUGAAAAAUGGUAACCAUACUUCUGCAAAUAACUAUAGACCAAUUUCCCUAAUCCUGAUAGUUUUUAAAAUUAUGGAAAGAGCUGAUAGUUAAUAAAACCACUAACCUUUUGUCUUCUAUAAGACUUUCUAAUAUUCUUCUUCCUCAGUAAUCUUAUGUUCUGAUAGUCUAUAAUCUUUUUGAUGGAAUCCAACAGCUUCUCUUGCUUUCUAAUAUUCUUCCUUGCUGAAUAAUACUUUCAUCCAAUACUCAUAUGCAAUCUUUCUUGUAUAACCCAACGCCUUAGCUAUAUUUACGGGGUCAGUGAUAUUGUCUUACUCUUUGUUCUAUAUGACAAUAAAUGUUAACAAUCUUCCCCUCUUUUCUUUUUCUUUCUUUUGUCAGUUUGAUCAACUUUUAGUUCAACCAAAUUUAUUAACAGAAUUGAAUGGAUAUCCAUAUGCAGCUAUAUCCGAGUUAACAACAACAUAGUCAUUUGACACAUAAACAAAACAGCAACCAAUCCAUAUUGCCAGUUUAACGAAAUCAACUCCAAAAUGGUUAGUAUUAACAAAAUCACAAAACUGUUUAAACUAUUUACACAUCUUUCCUCAGAUCUCCUCUAUUUUUCUUUUUCUUGUUUGAGUACACCAGUUGCCAAUGUAAAAAGAAGAUUCUUGCAACUAGCUCCUCAUUUGGUAAGACAAUCAGCGAUUUUCUGUUUUUUUGAAACCCAUGUUAUGUGAUUCACUUCGUUAUUUCGAAUCAUUUUUUUCAAAAUAGCCAAAUCUACUCUUAAGCGAUUGUCCAAAACUUGUUUUGUGGAAUGUACAGCAUCUUAAAGUGUUUUACUAUCUGUUAAACAUUUAAUUGAUGGUGCAAUAUUGAAAAUUUCUUCAAAUAAACAGCAUGGUCUCUGCAGAAAGGGUACUAUUCACUACUCUUUUCAUUCCUUACAAGCUAAAAUUGACAACAUAAAAUGUAAUGAUUCCUUUGUGCAAGUUGGAGAGUCUGUCUGAAUUGGUUUUUCAAACUCCUCAAAACCUUGUGCCACUAAUCUAGCUUUCACAGUUCUUUGUCCAUCAACAUUCUUCUCUGUCAGAAUCCAUCUGGUGCUAAUACAACUUUGGUUUUUAUCUUCCACUUCAUCAAAAACUUUAUUUUUGAUCCAGUUGUUCAAUUCCUUUUCCUUGGCAGACUUAAUCUCCUUUUCAUUGCCUUUAUUCAAGCAUAUCAAAGCCUCUUGUGAUACCUUUUCAGCAAAAUCCCACUCUUCAACCUUUUUCCAGUCCAAAUUCUCAACAUUCCCAACUUCAUUAACAAUGUUCAGCCGAUUCCUAUACUUUCCACUUGUUUUCCCAGCUCUUGAGUGCACAGUUCCUGUUUUCCAACCAACUUUUGUUUUGUAUUUCACUUUAUCUUUAACGUUUGGCAUAAUAUUCUUUGCUUUCACAUUUGUCUUCAAUAAUUUGUUAUGCUUAAAUGAAGUAUCCAUACCCGUAUCAUUAUUAACAUCGCUGUUAGUAAUUGAUGCUUCACUACUUAAUUCCUCAUCUUCCAAUAUUUCCUUUCCAGUUUCCUGUUUUUCUUCACGGUCAAUUUCCACUUCUACAUGUGCUUCUAACUUUUCUUCUUUUAAUCGUAGUCUGCAUGGAUGCAUUCUAACAUAUGUUGAUCCAUGCUUUACUAGAACUUGCUGACUUUCUUGUCCUAUCACAGUAGCAGGACCCUUCCAAGUAUCAUCAGAUCUCCGUUUAUAAUAUACUUUAUCUCCUGUUGCAUACUUCACACCUGUUAAAGGUCUUACAUUAUGUUUCAAGGCUCUUCUGAGCUUUUCAGAGGAUUAAGAUUUUAUAAAGGCUUCUCUUGCAGCAUGCAAUGCGUUCAAGUUACCAGCAACUACUUGACUACUUGUCCUUCCUUCUAGAGCUGGUGGAUCAUUCAUUUCUAUAACUGAAAAAUUUGGAUUGCUGCCAAACACUAGUUGAUUUGGUGAAAAGCCAUGUAUGUUUUUUAAGGAAUUCUUAGCAGCAACAGCCCAAGCCGCAGCUGUUUCUAAUGAAUAAUUAGGCUUGUCCAUCAUUUUACAGACUGUAUUGCCAAGUGUGAAAUUAUGUCGCUCAACAAGUCCAUUACUCCAUGGGCUCUCAGCAGCUGUUGUAACAAUAUUGAUGUUUAAAUUCUCACACAUGUCACGGUAAUCCUCAUUAUCAAAUUCCCCACCAUUAUCCACUAAAAACUUUUUAGCAGACCCAAAUAUGGAAAUCCAGAUCUUAAAAAUUGAGUUAAUGAUAAUUUCUUUCCUUUUACUUCGAAUAACACAGGAUGCACUAACUCUGGCCAAGUGAUCAACAAGAUGUAACAAACAAAUUUUAUCACCAUACGACCAUUGUUUCAAAUCCAUGCCAACGCAUUCAUUAAAUUCUGUAUCACAACUAUCUGAAACUCCAGCAAUCAUUUUUAAAAGAUCUGGGUCAGUUACAUCAGCAUUUCUCAAAAGCUGCUGAAGCUUGUCCUUUGAUGGAUGCGCAAACUGUUUAUGCAAUUUCAGGGCCACUUUUUCCUUUUCUUGAGUAUCAUCCAAAUUAUUCAUCAUCAGAUAUACUUGAGCAAAAGUCCUUUCAAUUCCGCUACCCUCUUUGUUAAUGGAAAUACAAUAAUGUCCGGUGAAACUAAAUUGGAUCUGGUGUUCUUGUCGCAAAAUUUCAACCUUGUCAUUUUCAAAAUCAAUAAAAACUUUUGCAUUCUUCAUUGCUUGCUUACUAAAUAGUAAUGGUAAGUCCUUGUCUACAACUUCUUUUAUUAUGCUAACAUAUUUUCCACUAAGCCAAGCAGGUAUGGUGACACGUUUUGAUGCUUUGAUUUCGUUACCAUCUCCGAAUUUAAAUACUGUUCAUGAUGGCUCUUCUUUGAUUGAUGAAGCAUCCUCGCCUGAAAGACUUUCUACAUAAUCGUUUAACCAAUUCUGCUGGCAAACUGUUUUAGUGCAACCAGAACCCAAUACUGCCAUGGUAAAUGUCUCACCAACAAGAGUUUCCAUUAUUUCCUCCGUAUAAAAUUGAUGUUUAAUCUUAUCACUCUUACUCUUAGCUUUAUCUGGACACUUCCUAGCAAAAUGGUAAAUACUACCACAGAUGUAACACCUUGGAUGAUCACCCGAUCUUCUAUUCUGCUCUCUGUCACUUCGAUUUCCACUGCUUCUACGAUAAUCCUUUAACCUAUACUCUUGUAUUUCUCGUUGCCCAUGAUAUUCCUGACCCGUCUGUUCCACCCUCUAUCUGCAUACCGUGAGUGAGGAACCUUGCAGUGUGAAGCACCAUAAAAGGUCUCGUUGGAAGUACUAUCACCCGAAACCUCAUUAAUUUGAACCGGCACAUCGUCAUCUUCUUUUGAAUUUAAAGAUUCAUUAAAUACCUUCUUAACUUGAUCAACCAUCAAGUUAUACUUUAAAUCUGGAAUUGUUGCUUGAACAGUUUCUUUCUGUUGCGUAGAAAGGUUAGCACUAUUUAAACAUCGAUAAGCUGUAACAGCUUCUGGUAAAUCAAUAUCAUACUUUUUCAAAUUAUAGUAAAGGUCUUCAAACUCAAUGGUAUAAUCCUGUAACAACAUGUCCUUCUACCUUUUAAAUUGCUCAAAUUUUUAAUAUGCUUCAUAUGCACGAUGCUUUGCAUCUUUAAGAAAUAUCUUGUCCAAUCUGUCCGUAAGUUUUGUAAUACCAUCUUCAUUUUUUUAAUCUCGAAUGUCAAGUUGUAAGGCAGUCUUUUUAGCCUUACCAUCUAAGAUCCACAGAGCUAGCUACAACGUUUUUGCUAGACGACAUACAUAAAGAAGCAGAUCAGGGAUAGCUUGUAGGAACUGUCUUCGUAGAUCUUUCCAACGCAUUUAAUACGUUAGGGAACUCCAUACUGCUAUCAAAGUUGAAAUCAUAUGGUAUAUCAUGCGUUGAGUUGGAUUGGUUCUCUAGUUACUUAUUUAACAGAAAGCAAUUGUGUCAAUACAUGUCUAUCCCAUAACCUGUGACGUACCGCAAGGGUCCAUUCUGGGACCUUCAUUUUCCUUAUUUACUUUAAUGAUUUUAAAGACAUCCUUAAACAUUCAAAAGUGAUUCAAUUCCCUGACGAUACAGUUGUUUAUGUAUCAGAUAAGUGUUUUAACACAAUUGAACGUGAACUAAAUGAAGAUUUGCAAUCGAAUGCAGCCUAUUGUUAUAUCAAUGAAUUGAUUAUCAAUAUCAGUAAAGGAAAAACGAAUCCAUGUUGCUUGGAACAGCUAUAAAGCUAUCAAAAUUUCCAACUGGACUAAGCCUUUCGUACGUUCAUAAGGAGUUGUGGUCGAUACAGAUAUCUGGGUACCCGAAUCAAUCAAUCGUUGAACAUGGAGGAAAAUUUUAAUUACCUCUAUAAACAAGCCUCAAAUAAACUUCGUAUGUUGAGUAACCUGAGAGAUGGCUUGGACAAUGAAUGCUCUAGCAAAAUUUACCAAUCAAUAAUUUUAUCUGCACUAAUGUACGAUUGUACAACAAAUUUAAAUUUGAACUCUACAGAAAAAUAUAAACUUUAAUCAAUAAGAAAUCGAGCUGAAAGAUCACUAAUGUUCCACAAAAGAAUAUUAUAAAUUUAGUUGAGAGAAGGUCAGUUUUAAUUGUCCGAAAAUGCGUUGAUGUGUGAUGAUUUUGCUAAUUAUUUUCAGUUUAUGAAGCACACGAAGAGAACCAGAAAUAAUGGCUAUUUUAUAAAAAUUCCCUGGGUAAAACUCGAGUUUGCCCAUUCUGGCUUUUUCAUAAUGGAUAUAAAAGAUUUCACUUCUUUGCCCGUUGAGAUCAGACAAACAGAUUCCUUUAGGGAUUUUAGGAAGCUAUGCGACACAUAUUUUGAUAGAUAGUAUUAGAUAUAGUAUUGUGUAUAUUCAAGUCUAUAUUUUUUUCAUGAAGUCUAUCCAACUUUGUCCUUUCAUGCUUCCUUGUUUUCUUUUUUCAGUCUGCAUUGCUACAUGGUAACUUUUAUUGUCUUAUUUUCCAGUUUAUGUGUGUGUUUUUUUAUACGUUUCUCAAGUUUUUCAAUUUUUUUUUACUAUGUUUAACUAACUUUAUUAUACACAGGACACAUUUAAAUAACAGUGUUUUAAAUACUGAAAAUGUUUUUAUCCUGUAUAAAUAUUCAGUAUAAAUAAAUAAAUAAAAAUUUUGUUUCCUUGUUUGCUUUUUUAUAUUCUGAUAAUAAUGCAAGUAAAAAAAAAGAUGUGAGUGAAAUGUGUGUAAUGUAUAAUAAUAGUGGACAUCUAUAUAUUAAUACGCCUUGUGUGUGUGUGCGCACGGUGAGGCCACGUCACACAAAUCACAGGUCAUUUUCUUACGACGUGGCGUUACGCUAAAAUUUACCAAGUUAAAGAAAACGCAAAUCAGGGGGUUACUAUAUAAAUAUUUAAUUCUCUUUUCUUAUUUUUUUUUUUAAAUAAAACUCUUUUUCCUUACUCAUUAAAACUAAUUUUUAUUUUAAUUUCAAAUGGUUUAUUUGUUAUUUUGUUGUAAAAGCCCCGCUGGUCGUUUAAGAUAGAAUAAUUAAAUUUUACCCCCGGUUUACCAUGUGCGCGCCGUAUCUCACGGAAACAAAGUUUAUUAACUGAAAAAUGAAAACCGAAGCGAAGAAAGUUGUCUCUUUUUCAAAGUAAUCCUGAAAAAAGUUAUUUCAAACAAGGUUUACUCAUCACGAGAGCGACUGUUGAUGUCGAGCGAGAAUAAAAAAAGUUUAUGUUGUUGCCAGAAAUAUUUGUUAUAAAGAAGAAAGACGUACGAUAAUAUAACGUCAAAAAGAGAACUGAUUGGAAAUGUAUCAGACAAUUGUAGCUAGCUAUACAUUUUCAAUUUGUUUUCUUUGGGAUGAAGCGAAGUUUAAUAAUCGAAGUAAAAAACUGAUUGGUCUUUUAUCCAGAGACGCUAGCUAACUGAGAAAGCCAAAGAAAGGCAGGUGUGUUGUUUAGUUUAUCUGGUAAAGAGAUAAGUUUAGGUGUGUAACGUUUUUUUUUAACCGUUUUGACUUUCAGAGCUCAGCUUUUCCUUUAAAUUUUUAGUUCCUUGUUGAGUCUUGAGCGUAAAUGCGUUUUCUUUUGACACAAUUUUUAUAAGAAUCUAUAAUGUAAAGCGACGUUUUUAAGUCGUUUACACGCUUCCAGCUAAACUUUCCCUUUAAUAUGAAGUUAAAUAUGUUUUGUCUUUAGCCUGAACAUAUUUAACAUUUUUUGUAAGAAUAUACUCUAAACAAUGGGUCAGAAUAUCCUAAGAAUAUGUCUAAGCUUGGUUGUUUCUUUUAAUAUAAAAAUUUGUAUGACUGAACCUUUUUCUCUCCAAAACAAUGGGCAAGUACACCAGGGAAAGCUAAGAACAUGAAGGCCGAAACGGGGAAAAAAAAACGCUAUUCUUAUAAAAUACAGCGUGUAUAUAAUAGAGAAGAGUUUAUAUAAAAUGUAGAAAGUAUUUUUUCGUUGUUACUGUUUUUAACGCUGCGAAGUGGUUGAUGUCGUUAUAAUAAACCUUAAUGUAAACAAAGUUAAAUCAAUGUUUACAUUUGUUACGUUACCGUGUAAAAUAAUAUUCGAUUCUUCAAUUCGAAAACACUGCAUUGUUAUCAUGCACUGCACGUUUGCGCAUUGGGAAGGUUGCUAUAUGCAAUAGACUAAAUAGCUAAUUUGGUAUGAUGCAUUAGAAUCUGUACGUUGUGGAAACUUUGCAAUAACCUUAUUUGUGUGACUUAUCGAUUUUUUCUAAUGUCUGGUAUACCAUUUUCCCUUUUAUGUUUCGGGUAUGGCAAAGCAAGUAUAUAGUUUUAACAGAUUUGUUAGCCACCUUCGAUUUUGUUAAACUUUUUGCAUUUUUAUUUGUUGCUGGACAUUGUUCUGUUUCAGCGGGUACAAAUAUAAUGCAGAUUGUGAGCAACUUCAAUCCCAGGGUUUUUUUCUCUUUUAUUUUUUUUUUUUAUUGCUGCACAUAUUUAUUUUUUUGGACGUUUUGUUCUAGUGGUUAUAAACUAGAAUAAUACAAAUUGUGACUUUUAAAAAUUCAUAUUACUGUGUUGUAUGUUUUCGUUUGGUAUCCCUUACAUCGGUUUAAUGAGAGAUUCAGUGGAUUCCCCCACGGGUAUUCAGCUAGUAUAUAUUAAUAAUCUUUUACUGUAUACGAUUUAAAACAUGACAUUCAUUUUGUAAGAAAAAGGCAAUGUACAUUAUUAAUAAACUUGAAAUAAUUUUUCUAUUUACAGAGUGUAUAUAUAUGUAAAAUUAGGUUAGGAUAACCUUGUUAAAUUAUAUAGGAAAAAGUUUCGGUUUACAAUUACUGUAUUUUAUGAUUGUAGGAUUCCCCUAGCUCUACAUUGCACAGGCCUUUUUCAAACAACAGAUCUUCACACUACUCCAUUCUUUUCAAGCUUCCUAUUUUUCUGGUAAUGGUCGAAAAAAUUGCUUUUCAGGUAUACUUCAGACAAAGUCAGGAUAGUGUGUUAGAAAAAAAUUUUAAUACACAUAUAGGGAACGUAACUUUUACCAGAAAUCUUUUUGAGUGAUACUCACAAAACGAAUAU